UGAUCAUGUUUAGCUGUUUUACUACUUGGU
rnacentral:sRNA from 1 species